rnacentral:rRNA from 1 species
AUUGAACGCUGGCGGCAUGCCUUACACAUGCAAGUCGAACGGCAGCACGGGAGCAAUCCUGGUGGCGAGUGGCGAACGGGUGAGUAAUAUAUCGGAACGUGCCCAGUCGUGGGGAUAACGUAGCGAAAGCUACGCUAAUACCGCAUACGAUCUACGGAUGAAAGCGGGGGGAUCGCAAGACCUCGCGCGAUUGGAGCGGCCGAUAUCAGAUUAGGUAGUUGGUGAGGUAAAGGCUCACCAAGCCGACGAUCUGUAGCUGGUCUGAGAGGACGACCAGCCACACUGGGACUGAGACACGGCCCAGACUCCUACGGGAGGCAGCAGUGGGGAAUUUUGGACAAAUGGGCGCGAGCCUGAUCCAGCAAUGCCGCGUGCAGGAUGAAGGCC